rnacentral:lncRNA from 1 species
AGAGGUUGCAAGUUUGAGGCCAUAGCUGAAGUGUUCAUGGUGCAGCCUGUCAGAUUUCAAUGAACCUGUGAAUUCUGCU